CCGUGCCCCAGCUUGUCUGAAUUACGUGAUGAUCUGAGGCCAGUACAGAGUCUCCCUCCUUUGGAACUAGUCUCUUGGGUUGAGUCCAAUAAGCACAUCAUCUUCCCCAGCUCUACAGACUGGCUCCAGUUUUGAGACUUUUCAGACUUUUCCAUUUUGUGAUUUCUUAGCUUCGUGUGUUAGGGAAGUUUGAACUUCUUCAUUUGUAUUGUCGUCUUAAUUAACAUGGCUGGACCAGAAUCCAGUAGACCACAUUAGUCAACACUGGACAAGGAGGAAGAGUCGGAGGUGCAUGAUCUCAGCUCUGAGGGUCAUAUGCAUUCUCCCUGCUCAUGUCCCAGAAACGCUUCAUUCCUCGAGAGUUUCAGCAGAAAAAAGUCCUCAUGAAUCUAGGGAAUGGCAUUAGCCACAUGAGUGUUUUUAAGUGGAUUUUUGUUUCCAGAUACUGCUCAGCCU
rnacentral:lncRNA from 1 species